rnacentral:rRNA from 1 species
GAUGAACGCUGGCGGCGUGCCUAAUACAUGCAAGUCGAGCGAACAGAUAAGGAGCUUGCUCCUUUGACGUUAGCGGCGGACGGGUGAGUAACACGUGGGUAACCUACCUAUAAGACUGGGAUAACUUCGGGAAACCGGAGCUAAUACCGGAUAACAUUUGGAACCGCAUGGUUCUAAAGUGAAAGAUGGUUUUGCUAUCACUUAUAGAUGGACCCGCGCCGUAUUAGCUAGUUGGUAAGGUAACGGCUUACCAAGGCGACGAUACGUAGCCGACCUGAGAGGGUGAUCGGCCACACUGGAACUGAGACACGGUCCAGACUCCUACGGGAGGCAGCAGUAGGGAAUCUUCCGCAAUGGGCGAAAGCCUGACGGAGCAACGCCGCGUGAGUGAUGAAGGGUUUCGGCUCGUAAAACUCUGUUAUUAGGGAAGAACAAAUGUGUAAGUAACUGUGCACGUCUUGACGGUACCUAAUCAGAAAGCCACGGCUAACUACG